rnacentral:rRNA from 1 species
AACGAACGCUGGCGGCAGGCCUAACACAUGCAAGUCGAACGCCCUAGCAAUAGGGAGUGGCAGACGGGUGAGUAACGCGUGGGAACCUUCCCUAUAGUACGGAAUAUACCAGGGAAACUUGGAGCAAUACCGUAUACGCCCGAAAGGGGAAAGAUUUAUCGCUAUAGGGAUGGGGCCCGCGUAGGAUUAGCUAGUUGGUGAGGUAAUGGCUCACCAAGGCGACGAUCCUUAGCUGGUCUGAGAGGAUGAUCAGCCACACUGGGACUGAGACACGGCCCAGACACCUACGGGUGGCAG